AAGCAACGAUACGCAGAGAGGAAGAACAUCUUCGUUAGUCUUUUGUCUGAUUAUAGAUUUAGAAAUCAAUCAAGAGAUAUCUUUCAGUACGAUCGUUCGUCGUCGAGUUCUACAACUAUCAUUCAUCUUUCAGUACGGAAUUAUAAUUUACUCGAGGAGGGACAAUUAACUCUGAGUGUCUGAGGAUAUAAUAUAUACCCUGAACACAAAACCAGAAAUUGUUGAAUAGAGGAGAGCAUUUGAAAUCUGUUAACAAGAUACACAAGAAUGGGAAGAUUCUUUAUCCUACUAGCAAUCUUUUUUGCUUUAAUGCUUGCAAUUUUCGAUUUGGGCCAUUGUUUCGCACCUUUUCCAGGCGAUUGUGGCGGUUGGGGAUGUCGUCAACAAAAACGUACUCAUGUGCACUCGAUCACAGGGUCUCACAGUAUCUGCGGCCAUAAUACACAGUGUCUGAGAACCAUGAAGAAACUUAUCACAUCUACAAAAUUUCGACAGCUAAAAGUGAGAAGAAAAGUCAUACGGGGUAGAAGAUACUAGCAAAACUUUAUCAUGAUCUACAGACGUUGUCGGUUGACAGGCGCGACACACUUACUAUGGUGCGCUUAUAAUAGCAUCAAUUUCCAACAAAGAUUUUGAAAAACUCUUGAACAAGGAUGAACUAUUAAACAAACAAAAAAAUAUAAAAUUCUGAAUCAGUUGAUGUUAAUACAAAAUUGAUAACGUUUGACGGGAGGAAUAAUCAAAACAAAGAAGUUCAGAAACGUCUCAUUCAACAAAUAAUACUCAGAUGUCGUAUGAUUCAAUUGUCUUUAAGACUGAAAUCAGCGAGAUCAGGGAACUUGACAACCAAAUUGAAGAGGUGAACACGAAGCUUGACAUUUAAAUACCAAAUCUGUUUAAAAAUAUAGUUGUUUCCAUAAUUCCUUUGUUUUCAGUUGUCAUGGUGGGCGCAAAAGAGAAACUGAGUAUUUUUACAGAUGUUUUAUUUAUGCCAAUCCGACAUCUGUUUACGAAACUUGUUUUUCCAAGCAAAAAAUCUUAAAUAUGCCAUCGAGAUGGAUUUCAAAACGUCCCUGUUAUUUUGAAACCAUUCAAAAGUGACAUUAUCCGACGUUUUAAGCGUGUAAUUUUGAUAAGUUGACGUGAAAAAGAUGUUUCUAAUUGAGAUGUUGGGACAAUUAUUAUUUCUGAAAUUAUUCCAUAACUGAAGUUGACGUGAGGUGUAAUUCCUUGACCACUCUGAACUAUCGAAGAUAAAAUGUUUAUGCAUUAAGAUGCAAAAACAUUGGCAAAAAUCAUUGUAUUUAAAUCGUUCUUGUAUAAAUUCAAUCGCACAGGGUAAAGUAUAUUGCUGUGAAUUCCAAUAACAUAUAUGAAUUCUCAAAA